rnacentral:rRNA from 1 species
AAUGAACGUUGGCGGCGUGGAUUAGGCAUGCAAGUCGAGCGAGAAGGGUCUGGUAGCUUGCUAUUGGGCCUGGAAAGCGGCGAAAGGGAGAGUAACGCGUAGUUACGUGCCCCAGGGUUCGGAAUAGCCACGGGAAACUGUGGGUAAUGCCGAAUAACAUCUCCGGAUCAAAGGUGUGAUUCCGCCCUGGGAGCGGACUGCGUCCUACUAGCUAGUUGGCGGGGUAAUGGCCCACCAAGGCAACGAUGGGUAGCGGGUGUGAGAGCAUGACCCGUCUCACUGGGACUGAGACACUGCCCAGACACCUACGGGUGGCUGCAGUCGAGAAUCUUCGGCAAUGGGCGAAAGCCUGACCGAGCGACGCCGCGUGCGGGAUGAAGGCCCUCGGGUUGUAAACCGCUGUCGUAGGGGAGGAAGGCUCCGUGAAGAGCGGGGUUUGACCUAUCCUAGGAGGAAGUACGGGCUAAGUUCGUGCCAGCAGCCGCAGUAACAC